UGGGGAAUAUUGGACAAUGGGCGCAAGCCUGAUCCAGCCAUGCCGCGUGAGUGAUGAAGGCCUUAGGGUUGUAAAGCUCUUUCGCCGGUGAAGAUAAUGGACGGCUAACCGGAGAAGAAGGCCCCGGCUAACUUCGGUGCCAGCAGCCGCGGUAAUACGAAGGGGGCUAGCGUUGCUCGGAAUCACUGGGCGUAAAGCGCACGUAGGCGGAUUCGUUAAGUCAGGGGUGAAAUCCUGGAGCUCAACUCCAGAACUGCCCUUGAUACUGGCGAUCUCGANUUCGAGAGAGGUUGGUGGAAACUCCGAGUGUAGAGGUGAAAUUCGUAGAUAUUCGGAAGAACACCAGUGGCGAAGGCGGCCAACUGGCUCGAUACUGACGCUGAGGUGCGAAAGCGUGGGGAGCAAAACAGGAUUAGAU
rnacentral:rRNA from 1 species